UUCGCUCAAAGGCCAGACAAAUCUUGUCGAUUUCAAAGAGCCUUGGCCGAGUGGCCUACAAUGAAAUAGACAGGCCUACGUCACAUUGCUGUUUGACACAACUACCCAAAGUCCAAGCUCUUGUUAAAAUGGUUCUAAAUACAGACACAACAUAAGAAGACCUGGCUUUUCUGUAAGUUAUGUAACCAUUAUCGGAGAUUGUUUAAUUAGUAUACAUAUGUAAACGGUCCAUGACUUGCUUUAUAAACCCUAGAUAACUUUAUGAUAUCUAUGGACAAACAUAUCUUAUCUAGGAUCAUAGUUUAUUGAAGCAAGGAUCGGACCAAGUUCAUCGAUCAUCACACCUCAUUUUUUCUAUGCUGUCACCCAAAUUAUCUCAUUAUAAACGUAAUACUUUAAGAUGAAGGAGGUAAUUGUUUUACUGUGUAUGCUUCUUCUUGUCACUGAAUUUUGUCAAGUCACCGAAAGUUUAACUUUUUCACAAUUGAGUGAUGCAGUCCAAGCAAGGACCAAUGAAGACACCGGGCCAGUAUUUUCGAUGAGGAGGGGUGGAAUUAACUUUGCUGCUAGGAGACCUCGGCCAACAUGUAGGCGUAGUUGGUGGAGGAGAUGUUGACAGCCCCUCCACAACGACAACACAACAACGACAACAACAAUAAUAUCAACAACAAUAACCACAUCAACAACAACAACGACAACAACUACAAGACAACGACAAUAACAUUAAUAACAACAAUAAAGCAACAGCAACAACAAGUAACGUCAUGUGUAAGAAGUUUUUCUUGUACCACACGCAUGCUGUCAUCAUAUUGAAGGAGUUCGCCAAUCCAUUUUCAUCAUUUAUGUUUGAAUAAAAAAGUUCUUACACCAGUU